UACGUAGGCAGCAAGCGUUGUUCGGAGUUACUGGGCGUAAAGAGUGCGUAGGCGGUCCUGUAAGUUUGGUGUGAAAUCUCCCGGCUCAACUGGGAGGGUGCGCCGAAGACUGCAGGGCUUGAGUAUGGGAGAGGUAAGCGGAAUUCCUGGUGUAGCGGUGAAAUGCGUAGAUAUCAGGAGGAACACCGGUGGCGAAGGCGGCUUUCUGGACAGAUACCGACGCUGAGGCACGAAAGCUAGGGGAGCAAACAGG
rnacentral:rRNA from 1 species